UACAGAGGGUGCAAACGUUGUUCGGAAUUACUGGGCGUAAAGCGCGUGUAGGCGGCUAGGUAAGUCUGCUCUGAAAGCCCGGGGCUCAACCCCGGGAGGCGGGUGGAUACUGUCUAGCUCGAGUCCGGAAGAGGAGUGUGGAAUUCCUGGUGUAGCGGUGAAAUGCGCAGAUAUCAGGAGGAACACCAAUGGCGAAGGCAGCACUCUGGGACGUGACUGACGCUGAGACGCGAAAGCGUGGGGAGCAAACAGG
rnacentral:rRNA from 1 species